AUUGAACGCUGGCGGCAGGCUUAACACAUGCAAGUCGAGCGAGCGGCGGACGGGUGAGUAAUGUCUGGGAAACCGCCCAAUGGAGGGGGAUAACUACUGGAAACGGUAGCUAAUACCGCAUACCAUCAGAUGUGCCCAGAUGGGAUUAGCUAGUAGGUGGGGUAAUGGCGAACCUAGGCGACGAUCCCGAGCUGGUCUGAGAGGAGGACCGGCCACACUGGGACUGAGACACGGCCCAGACUCCUAAGGGAGGCAGCAGUGGGGAAUAUUGGACAAGGGGUGAAAGCCUGAUGCAGCCAUGCCGCGUGUAUGAAGAAGGCCCGAGGGUUGUAAAGUACUUUCAGUCGGGAGGCGUUACCGACAGAAGAAGCACCGGCUAACUCCGUGCCAGCAGCCGCGGUAAUUC
rnacentral:rRNA from 1 species